GAUGAACGCUGGCGGCGUGCUUAACACAUGCAAGUCGAACGGACUGUACUUCGGUACAGUUAGUGGCGGACGGGUGAGUAACGCGUGGGUAACCUGCCUCACACUGGGGGAUAACAGUUAGAAAUAGCUGCUAAUACCGCAUAAGCGCACAGGGCCGCAUGGCCUGGUGUGAAAAACUCCGGUGGUGUGAGAUGGACCCGCGUCUGAUUAGGUAGUUGGUGAGGUAACGGCUCACCAAGCCGACGAUCAGUAGCCGGCCUGAGAGGGUGAACGGCCACAUUGGGACUGAGACACGGCCCAA
rnacentral:rRNA from 1 species